GACUUAUUUACAAUGGCUGUCACU
rnacentral:siRNA from 1 species